UCCAUCGCUGGCCCUCCUACCCAACCACUGCCCAUGCUUCCCCGCCGCCCAACUGCCCAGACCUGCGCGCCUCCCCGCCGGAGGGGGCCCCAAUUACGGCGGAGCCCCCGACGUCUGCCCGCCCGGCCAGACCUCCGUGCUGCCUAGCUGGAGAGGCUCAGAUUCCAGUGGCGCCAAGGACCUCCGCCCCCGACCUUCGUGCGGACCGCGCGGCCCGUUCACCGCCGGCCCCCUCCUCCGACCCCUGACUGGCGCCGGCCCGCUUCUCCUCCUGCCCUGACCAAUGCCAGCCCCCUUCUCCGACUCGUUUCCGGCCCGAGGGAUAAUGGAAUGAUUGGGACGAUUCAGCUCUCGUUGGAAAUGUGUCAACAAGGAUGCAGUAGCCAGUGUUGGAGCAGCCAAUGUUGAGGCUGAGGGAGAAAACCAGGAAGCAGAAAAGGUGUAUGGACUUGGUGGGUAUAUGAACAUGUGACACUAUGUAAGAUUGAUUUGGAUUUACUAUGUGAGAUUUGAUGUAUUUAUUAUGUGUGAAUGAAUUGUAUGAAUUCUGCAGCCAUAUGAAUUGUAUAUAUAAAAUUAUAGAAAUGUUAUUUAAUUUUGAUAAUGGUGCUGAAAUAAGCAGGAGUAAA